AGUACUGAACCUGAGUCACAUGUUCGAGAAAGAGGGAAAAAAAUGACCAGAACAGGAAGAUUUCUUUUUUGAGAGUGAAAGCCAUUUGGUCUCAUUCUGUUUAAGACAUUUACUACAACAGAUCUUGCAGGUGCUCAACAGGAAACUCAUUCUGCGGUGGAUUUCUUGCCUACGUUUGUUUAUGAAUGAGACCAAUAAAAGCGCUGAGAUCUGAACCGGGAAAAGCCUCUGCUUCAGCAGGUGAAGAGCUGAUCAGACAGAGAUGGAUCUCAGUUUCAUUUAUGGACUCAAACUACAUGCUAGUGUUAUCAUAAAUAUCUAUAUUUUAGUUCCAUUACUUUUCAACCAUUCAGUCUAUAUCCACACCUGACCAAUGAAAAUGCUACUAGAAAUUUUAUUGCAUCAAAUUUUAUUGAAAUUUUAUUUCUGAAAUGCAUCAGAAAACUAUCAACAAUCAAAGAUGGAACUUUAAUUUAUUUACAAUGUAGCAAUGCUAGAAAUGUUUCGGAAUGGGAUAUUUGUAAAUAUAUUAAUAUAUGUAUGAAUAUGCUAGUCUGUACAGACAUUACAGGUCAAAUCUGAUGUACCCUUUAUCUAAACAAACUACAUAUAAAACACUGCCUAUACAAAUCCAGUGCUGACAUAUGUCGAAUUGAACUGAAUUGAGGUCAUUUGUUUUAUAAUUGUUGUUUUAUUACAGACUGUGGACUUUGUCUUUUUUUUGUAAAUUGAAUUCAGUUUGAAAUCAAUUUUUAAAUCAAGCUUCCUUAUUUUAAAGACCCAAAUACACAGAAUGAGCAAAUGUUUAAGAUUGAGAUUUUUGCAAUGGUAAUUGAACAAUGUUUAUGUUUAUGCAAAUAAAA